UGGGGAAUUUUCCGCAAUGGGCGAAAGCCUGACGGAGCAAUACCGCGUGAGGGAUGAAAGCCUGUGGGUUGUAAACCUCUUUUCUCAAGGAAGAAACUAUGACGGUACUUGAGGAAUAAGCAUCGGCUAACUCUGUGCCAGCAGCCGCGGUAAUACAGAGGAUGCAAGCGUUAUCCGGAAUCACUGGGCAUAAAGCGUCUGUAGGUUGCACAUCAAGUCUGCUGUUAAAGACUAGGGCCUAACCCUGGGAAAGCAGUGGAAACUAGUGUGCUUGAGUGUGGUAGAGGUAGAGGGAAUUCCUGGUGUAGCGGUGAAAUGCGUAGAUAUUAGGAAGAACACCAAUGGCGAAAGCACUCUACUGGGCCACAACUGACACUGAGAGACGACAGCUAGGGGAGCAAAUGGG
rnacentral:rRNA from 1 species